UUGGAGGAAUGUGAAGAAUUCAGAGGCGACUUAGAUGCAGCCUUUGGAGGGCUUACGGGUUAAUGGGAGACACACACAUUCAGUAAUCUCAACUUUCGGUGGCCCAGCUCAGAACAACGCCAGGUGGAGGUGGUCUGGAGAAAUCCGGAGACCGCCUGGAUUGAGUUCUACUGCGAUUGGAAGGGAGAUUCCACAGCCCACAUACUUUGGACUUUAAUUAAGCUCUGCUGCAGCCAGCUCCGCCACCAUCCCACGUCCUCCCUGUGGAAGACGGACACAU
rnacentral:lncRNA from 1 species